AUUGAACGCUGGCGGCGUGCUUUAUACAUGCAAGUCGGACGAGUGGCGAACGGGUGGGUAACUGAUCAGAACGUACCGAGCAAUGGGGGAUAACUGUCCGAAAGGACAGCUAAUACCGCAUAUUACUCGAGCGGCCGAUGUCUGAUUAGCUGGUUGGCGGGGUAAAGGCCCACCAAGGCGACGAUCAGUAGCGGGUCCGAGAGGAUGAUCGGCCACACUGGUACUGAGACACGGCCCAGACUCCUACGGGAGGCAGCAGUGGGGAAUUUUGGGCAAUGGACGCAAGCCUGAUCCAGCAAUGCCGCGUGUCUGAAGAAGGCCUUCGGGUUGUAAAGGACUUUUGUCAGGGAAGCGGUACCUAAACAGUAAGCACCGGCUAACUACGUGCCAGCAGCCGCGGUAAUUC
rnacentral:rRNA from 1 species